ensembl:lncRNA
GUCACUUUACAACUCAGCUUGGUCUGUACCCGCUCGCUGUUUGAGUGCUUUGGACUUCUUUUUUUUUUUUUUAAUUUCAAAAAGAAGUGACAGGCCAUCUCCUCACAGUGUUAAGUGAAAUAGAGCAAGAGUGACUUUCGUUCACACGACACUUUAAAUGAUUCUGAAGCGAGUGCAGUUAAAACUCAUGACAUCACGUUGCGUUUGCGUCCUGCCACCUGUAGGAGCAACGCUCGUGGUUCUUAUGUGAGGGUGGGAGAAGAGAGCUCAUUUCAUCACUUUGACUGGACGACUUGCUCAUUUCACGGCUGCAAUUGGACUGGGAUAUUAAGCUGAAUUUCAAAGAGACUGUGAUACUUGGUGUAAUUUUACAGGACAGAAGCUGAAUCCCCAGCAGGCACCUAACUGUUCAAGAUGUGGAAACAAGUCCUGCAAUUAGUUAGUUCUGAAAAAACCGGUCCCCUCGGGAUAGUCAUCGGGAUGGUCAUUGUCACUCUUUAUCUGCAGAACACGACGUGCCCUUGCACAGGACGCACGUUUGAAUGUAAUGAAAUCAUCGUCGUGCCUGUUUUUUUUAUAUUUUUCCUGGUGCUCCUGAUAGACCAGACAUUUCGGAGCACCGCGAAACAUCCAUCCACGUUUUUAUGCCUUGUAGCGAAGCGCGUUAUCAGAGCGUUUCUAAUCAGUCUGCUGUGGAUUGUAGCUGUGUUGCUUGUCACGGACUGGUAUGGUUGCUGUAACACUGAUGAAAACACGAGCAAGCUGUUCUGCAAAUCUGAGAACUUCACAACUGAACAAAAAGCUCAAAAAGAUGAAGCGGAAAUCAGGUCAAGGCUUACUGCUUACUCUCUGCUCCUGGGCAUGACUGUUGUAGCUUUCUUCAUGACUUGGAGUGGGUGGAGAAAAUGGUUUAUAAAAAAAAUUAGUUGGUGCAACAAGAAAACUUUUUACUACAAACUGAUUUUGGAAGAAGAGAAAAAAGUUCUGGAGGAGCUUUUGAGGAAAGAAGCAAAUGAGACUUUGACUAAAGAAAUUAUGAGCAACAUAAAAAGGAAAGACUGGGACGGCUGUUUUAAUGUUGCUCAACAAAUGAUCAAUAAAGCAAAACACCAAAAACCAGAAGCAACCAACCAGCAGAUCAACUGGAUCAGUGAGGGGAGCUCCAACAGAGGGGGACAGCAUCAUCAAGCAGCAGCACAUCAGCAGGCACAAAACUAUGAACUUGAUGCAGUGGCAAAAGAUACCCUUAAUCCUGCAUCGUGAGUCCCGCGUUUGGGUCACCUCCUCGCAUCCACACGACACCCCUGACACAUGAGUGCUGCUGUUUGACUGAGGAAGAAUAAAGUAGUCGUGGUAAGUCAAUCACGUGACCACUUAAAGACGACAAAGCAGCAAGGUGAUAUAUACCAGUUUUUAAUGUGAGAGAUUUGUGACGCUUAGCGUGUUUGGAGUGUGUAGUUAAUGUGUUGCCUUGUGUAGUUAGUGUGUAGUGUUGUGGAUAGUUUUGUGUUGUGUGUCAGAACAAUGAGGCGACUGCUGUCUGCAGGUAGGAAACCAGAGUGAUACACCUGCUGCUGUCAGACCUGCAGGUAUCAGGCUGUGAUGUUCUCCUUUAUAGUGGACAGAAAUUAUUUUUUGGAGUGGCACAAAUAAUUUGUGCGGCAUCUUAUUGAAUGCAGAUCAGCUGAUUGUUCUGUAAAUAGUUUGAAAUGGUUAUUUUAAAAAAAAGGGUAAAUGUCAUGGUCCUGAGUCUGACGACUCAGUCUUUUGUGUUUCUUUAUAUUAUUCUGUGUUCUUGUUUAUUCUAUUAUUCUCCUGCCUGUUGCUGGUUCGUCUGUGUUAUUUGGUGUUUUCUUGUCCGUGAAUCUCCCUCCAUCAUCCUGUGAAUUCUCCCUGCAAGAAUUAUACCCUGGACCCCAGAGGGUUAAACAUUUUUUUGAAAGUAACGCAAUAGUUACUUUUCAAGUAUUUAAUUUCUUUUAGAAUCUUGUAACUCAGUUACUAAAUAUUAAAUAUCUAAAUAUUCUUACUAUUUAAACAUCUUUCAAUAUCCUGCUCUGUUUGCACACUACACCCUGGGUUAUCCACUUAUCUGUACCUUAAUUUUAAUAACUGUACAGUUCUGUUUUGGUAACUAUUGUCC